rnacentral:rRNA from 1 species
AACGCGAAGAACCUUACCUACUCUGACAUCUACAAAAGCCAGCGGAGACGCAGGUGUGCCCUCGGGAACUGUAAGACAGGUGCUGCAUGGCUGUCGUCAGCUCGUGUUGUGAAAUGUUGGGUUAAGUCCCGCAACGAGCGCAACCCUUAUCCUUGUUUGCCAGCACUUCGGGUGGGAACUCCAGGGAGACUGCCGGUGAUAAACCGGAGGAAGGUGGGGACGACGUCAAGUCAUCAUGGCCCUUACGAGUAGGGCUACACACGUGCUACAAUGGCGCAUACAGAGGGCGGCCAACUUGCGAAAGUGAGCGAAUCCCAAAAAGUGCGUCGUAGUCCGGAUUGGAGUCUGCAACUCGACUCCAUGAAGUCGGAAUCGCUAGUAAUCGUGGAUCAGAAUGCCACGGUGAAUACGUUCCCGGGCCUUGUACACACCGCCCGUCACACCAUGGGAGUGGGCUGCAAAAGAAGUGGGUAGUUUAACCUUCGGGAGGACGCUCACCACUUUGUGGUUCAUGACUGGGGUGAAGUCGUAACAAGGUAACCG